rnacentral:lncRNA from 13 species
UAUAAACUUGGUAACUUCGUUUGAUAAAAUAAAGCAAAACAAAGGCAUUCUUCCUAAGAGAGUACAGAAUUCUCACUUGUGCUUUGGUGGAUUUCUCUGGUACUAGAUGAUAUAGCUCUAUGCAUGAAGUAAGAGAGGAAAACAGUCUAAUGCCCAUCAACGGAUGAAUGGAUAAACAAACAGUGGUAUAAUGAUACUAUGGAAUAGUGUCCAUCCAUAAAAUGUAAUAAAGUACUGACACAGCUACA